CCGACGGUGAGGGAUGAAAGCCAGGGGAGCGAACGGGAUUAGAUACCCCGGUAGUCCUGGCCGUAAACGAUGCGUGUUAGGUGUUGGUAGGGCUCUGAGCCGUAUCAGUGCCGUAGGGAAACUGUUAAACGCGCCGCCUGGGAAGUACGCUCGCAAGGGUGAAACUUAAAGGAAUUGGCGGGGGAGCACCACAAGGGGUGAAGCCUGCGGUUCAAUUGGACUCAACGCCGGGAAACUUACCGGGGGC
rnacentral:rRNA from 1 species